rnacentral:misc_RNA from 1 species
UUUCCGUAGGUGAACCUGCGGAAGGAUCAUUACAGAGUUCAUGCCCGAAAGGGUAGACCUCCCACCCUUGUGUAUUAUUACUUUGUUGCUUUGGCGAGCGCAAGCUCGCCAUAGAAUACCAAAACUCUUUUUAUUAAUGUCGUCUGAGUACUUUAUAAUAGUUAAAACUUUCAACAACGGAUCUCUUGGUUCUG